GAUGAACGCUGGCGGCGUGCCUAACACAUGCAAGUCGAACGAAGCACCUUACCUGAUUCUUCGUAUGAAAGUUUGGUGACUGAGUGGCGGACGGGUGAGUAACGCGUGGGUAACCUGCCCUGUACAGGGGAUUACAGGCGGAAACCGGCUCCUAUUCCCCCUUAACCGACGGGGGGGAAAUUUCUUUUUUUGAAAAACUCCGGUGGUACAGGUUGGGCCCGCGUCUGAUUAGCUGGUUGGCAGGGUAACGGCCUACCAAGGCAACGAUCAGUAGCCGGGCUGAGAGGAGGAACGGCCACAGUGGAACUGAGACACGGUCCAAACUCCUACGGGAGGCAGCAGUGGGGAAUAUUGCACAAUGGGGGAAACACUGAUGCAGCAACGCCGCGUGAGUGAAGAAGUAUUUCGGUAUGUAAAGCUCUAUCAGCAGGGAAGAUAAUGACGGUACCUGACUAAGAAGCUCCGGCUAAAUACGUG
rnacentral:rRNA from 1 species